GACGAACGCUGGCGGCGUGCUUAACACAUGCAAGUCGUACGGUAAGGCCCUUUCGGGGGUACACGAGUGGCGAACGGGUGAGUAACACGUGAGUAACCUGCCCCCAACUUUGGGAUAACGCUAGGAAACUGGUGCUAAUACUGGAUAUGUGCUCCUGCUGCAUGGUGGGGGUUGGAAAGCUCCGGCGGUUGUGGAUGGACUCGCGGCCUAUCAGCUUGUUGGUGGGGUAGUGGCCUACCAAGGCGGCGACGGGUAGCCGGCCUGAGAGGGUGACCGGCCACAUUGGGACUGAGAUACGGCCCAGACUCCUACGGGAGGCAGCAGUGGGGAAUAUUGCACAAUGGGCGCAAGCCUGAUGCAGCAACGCCGCGUGCGGGAUGACGGCCUUCGGGUUGUAAACCGCUUUCAGCAGGGACGAAGCUUUUUGUGACGGUACCUGCAGAAGAAGCACCGGCUAACUACGUG
rnacentral:rRNA from 1 species